rnacentral:rRNA from 1 species
CAGUAGCCGCGGGAAUACGUAGGUGGCAAGCGUUGUCCGGAAUUAUUGGGCGUAAAGGGCUCGCAGGCGGUUUCUUAAGUCUGAUGUGAAAGCCCCCGGCUCAGCCGGGGAGGGUCACUGGAAACUGGGAAACUUGAGUGCAGAAGAGGAGAGUGGAAUUCCACGUGUAGCGGUGAAAUGUGUAGAGAUGUGGAGGAACACCAGUGGCGAAGGCGACUCUCUGGUCUGUAACUGACGCUGAGGAGCGAAAGCGUGGGGAGCGAACAGGAUUAGAUACCCGCGUAGUCCCUGUCUCUUAUAC